UUUGAUCCUGGCUCAGGAUAAACGCUGGCGGCGUGCAUAACACAUGCAAGUCAAGGAGAACGUUUUCUUCGGAAAACAAGUAAACUGGCGGACGGGUUAGUAACGCGUAGGUAACCUGCCUUUAAGAUUGGGAUAACUCAGUGAAAACAGGGCUAAUACCAAAUAAUAUCUAUUUUCUCUGGAUUUUAGAUCAAAGUAGGCUUCGGCUUACACUUUAAGAUGGGCCUGCGUCUGAUUAGUUUGUUGGUAAGGUAAUGGCUUACCAAGGCUACGAUCAGUAGCUGGUUUGAGAGGAUGAUCAGCAACACUGGGACUGAGAUACGGCCCAGACUCCUACGGGAGGCAGCAGUGGGGAAUCUUGCGCAAUGGGCGAAAGCCUGACGCAGCCACGCCGCGUGAGGGAUGAAGGCUUUCGGGUUGUAAACCUCUUUCAGCAGGGACGAAAAUGACGGUACCUGCAGAAGAAGCUCCGGCCAACUACGUGCCAGCAGCCGCGGUAACACGUAGGGAGCAAGCGUUGUCCGGAUUUAUUGGGCGUAAAGAGCUCGUAGGCGGUUCGGUAAGUCGGGUGUGAAAACUUGAGGCUCAACCUCAAGAGGCCACUCGAUACUGCUGUGACUGGAGUCCGGUAGAGGAGUGUGGAAUUCCUGGUGUAGCGGUGAAAUGCGCAGAUAUCAGGAGGAACACCGACAGCGAAGGCAGCACUCUGGGCCGGUACUGACGCUGAGGAGCGAAAGCAUGGGGAGCGAACAGGAUUAGAUACCCUGGUAGUCCAUGCCGUAAACGUUGGGCACUAGGUGUGGGGUCUAGCUAACAGAUUCCGUGCCGCAGCUAACGCAUUAAGUGCCCCGCCUGGGGAGUACGGCCGCAAGGCUAAAACUCAAAGGAAUUGACGGGGGCCCGCACAAGCGGCGGAGCAUGUUGCUUAAUUCGAGGCAACGCGAAGAACCUUACCUGGGUUUGACAUGUAGGGAAAAGCCAUAGAGAUAUGGUGUCCUUAGGGGCCCUACACAGGUGGUGCAUGGCUGUCGUCAGCUCGUGUCGUGAGAUGUUGGGUUAAGUCCCGCAACGAGCGCAACCCUUGUCCUAUGUUGCCAGCGGGUAAUGCCGGGGACUCGUAGGAGACUGCCGGGGUCAACUCGGAGGAAGGUGGGGACGACGUCAAGUCAUCAUGCCCCUUAUAUCCAGGGCUGCAAACAUGCUACAAUGGCCGGUACAGAGGGCUGCAAAACCGCGAGGUUGAGCGAAUCCCACAAAGCCGGUCUCAGUUCGGAUUGGAGUCUGCAACUCGACUCCAUGAAGGCGGAGUCGCUAGUAAUCCCGGAUCAGCAACGCCGGGGUGAAUACGUUCCCGGGCCUUGUACACACCGCCCGUCACACCACGAAAGUCGGCAACACCCGAAGUCAGUGGCCUAACUCUUUUGAGAAGGAGCUGCCGAAGGUGGGGUCAGCGAUUGGGGUGAAGUCGUAACAAGGUAGCC
rnacentral:rRNA from 1 species